CCCCCCCCAAAAUGGGGGGUGGGGGGGGUGAAUGUACAGGUAAAGGUGGUGACCCCCCCCAAAAUUAGGAUGGGGGUGUCAAUAAUCAGGUAAAGGUGGUGACCCCCCCCAAAAAAUCAAAGUGGGGGGGUUAAUAAAGAGGUUCAGGGGGUGACACCCCCCCAAAAAACAGGUUGGGGGGGUCGAUAAACAGGUAAAAGACCCCCCCCCAAAAUAAGGUGGAGGGGUUAAUAAACAGGUGAAGGUGGUGACCCCCCCAAAAUGAUGUGGGGGGGUGAAUGUACAGGUAAAGGUGGUCACCCCCCC